rnacentral:rRNA from 1 species
GCCUAAUACAUGCAAGUCGAACGGGAUUGAGAGCUUGCUUUCAUGAGAGUGGCGUACGGGUGCGUAACGCGUAUGCAACCUACCUUCAUCAGGGGGAUAGCCCGAAGAAAUUCGGAUUAACACCGCAUAAAAACACAGCUUGGCAUCAAGCAAUGUUCAAAUAUUUAUAAGAUGAAGAUGGGCAUGCGUGUCAUUAGCUAGUUGGUAAGGUAACGGCUUACCAAGGCUACGAUGGCUAGGGGAUCUGAGAGGAUGACCCCCCACACUGGUACUGAGACACGGACCAGACCCCUACGGGAGGCAGCAGUAAGGAAUAUUGGUCAAUGGAGGCAACUCUGAACCAGCCAUGCCGCGUGCAGGAAGACUGCCUUAUGGGUUGUAAACUGCUUUUAUACGGGAAUAAACCUUAAUUCGUGAAUUAAGCUGAAUGUACCGUAAGAAUAAGGAUCGGCUAACUCCGUGCCAGCAGCCGCGGUAAUACGGAGGAUCCAAGCGUUAUCCGGAUUUAUUGGGUUUAAAGGGAGCGUAGGCGGCUUGUUAAGUCAGGGGUGAAAGACGGUGGCUCAACCAUCGCAGUGCCUUUGAUACUGACGAGCUUGAAUAUAGUUGAGGUAGGCGGAAUGUGACAAGUAGCGGUGAAAUGCAUAGAUAUGUCACAGAACACCGAUUGCGAAGGCAGCUUACUAAGCUAUUAUUGACGCUGAGGCUCGAAAGCGUGGGGAUCAAACAGGAUUAGAUACCCUGGUAGUCCACGCCCUAAACGAUGAUAACUCGAUGUUGGCGAUAUACAGUCAGCGUCCAAGCGAAAGCGUUAAGUUAUCCACCUGGGGAGUACGCCCGCAAGGGUGAAACUCAAAGGAAUUGACGGGGGCCCGCACAAGCG